rnacentral:rRNA from 1 species
GCUGGAAUCGCUAGUAAUCGUGGAUCAGCAUGCCACGGUGAAUACGUUCCCGGGUCUUGUACACACCGCCCGUCACACCAUGGGAGCCGGUAAUACCCGAAGUCAGUAGUCUAACCGCAAGGAGGACGCUGCCGAAGGUAGGAUUGGCGACUGGGGUGAAGUCGUAACAAGGUACC